rnacentral:lncRNA from 1 species
UUGAGUACAAAGCUAAUAUGAUGAGAAAGGAAACCCUAAUUGCAAACUCUGUACAAGUUAGGUUAAUCCACAUGUUCGUUUUCUUUCGUGAAUUAUUGAAAUUCUAGAUUCAUGAUUGUUUCGCUUCAAUUUGAAUAGGGUUUGUUGUCGUUUUGCUUAAAUCAUGUUGUUUUUAUAAUUUUUUGCUUUAGUGUCUAUUGUAAUACAAUGGCCCCAUAGGUACAAAACAAAUGACAACAAAGGAACUUAUUGUUUCUAAUCUAGAUAUUAUUGUUGGAAUGUUUGGUUCCUAUAUAUAAUAUCCUUCCGUGUUCUUUGUAUGUAUGAGCCAAUCCUGGCCCACAUGGGAGAAACACUAUCUUUUAUCAUCGAUUCAUUACCAGAAUACUGAAUACUGAUUGAUCGAGAAGCUAAUGGAAGAAGGAGUAGGAUUGGAGAUGGACUUCACCAACCUUGGUGUUGUCGCUGACUCUAUAGAUGCCUUA